rnacentral:rRNA from 1 species
UAGGGAAUCUUCCGCAAUGGGCGAAAGCCUGACGGAGCAACGCCGCGUGAGUGAUGAAGGUCUUCGGAUCGUAAAACUCUGUUAUUAGGGAAGAACAAAUGUGUAAGUAACUAUGCACGUCUUGACGGUACCUAAUCAGAAAGCCACGGCUAACUACGUGCCAGCAGCCGCGGUAAUACGUAGGUGGCAAGCGUUAUCCGGAAUUAUUGGGCGUAAAGCGCGCGUAGGCGGUUUUUUAAGUCUGAUGUGAAAGCCCACGGCUCAACCGUGGAUGGUCAUUGGAAACUGGAAUACUUGAGUGCAGAAGAGGAAAGUGGAAUUCCAUGUGUAGCAGUGAAAUGCGCAGAGAUAUGGAGGAACACCAGUGGCGAAGGCGACUUUCUGGACUGUAACUGACGCUGAUGUGCGAAAGCGUGGGGAUCAAACAGG